rnacentral:rRNA from 1 species
GACGAACGCGGCGGCGUGCCUAAUACAUGCAAGUCGAACGCUUCUUUCCUCCCGAGUGCUUGCACUCAUUUGGAAAGAGGAGUGGCGGACGGGUGAGUAACACGUGGGUAACCUACCCAUCAGAGGGGGAUAACACUUGGAAACAGGUGCUAAUACCGCAUAACAGUUUAUGCCGCAUGGCAUAAGAGUGAAAGGCGCUUUCGGGUGUCACUGAUGGAUGGACCCGCGGUGCAUUAGCUAGUUGGUGAGGUAACGGCUCACCAAGGCCACGAUGCAUAGCCGACCUGAGAGGGUGAUCGGCCACACUGGGACUGAGACACGGUCCAGACUCCUACGGGAGGCAGCAGUAGGGAAUCUUUCGGCAAUGGACGAAAGUCUGACCGAGCAACGCCGCGUGAGUGAAGAAGGUUUUCGGAUUCGUAAAACUUCU